AGUUGAGCGAAAACUGUUUGAAAAACCUGUAGCUGUAAGUUUAUUAUUUUCUUUUUUCAAAAAAUUUGUUUUGUAUUUUUUUAAAAGUGUUUGUGAUUUUUUUAUAGAUUGUUAAACCUUAUGUGGUAGAAAACGUAUAUAAAGCGCCUCAAAUUUAUGUCCCUCAAGUGGUUGAAACGAGACCACUUAAGGAAACAGAUAAAUAUUUGUAUAAAAUUGAGCUGGAAAUCUUCAACGAUAUUCCAUAAAUAGACAAUGAACAAGUUGGCAUACUCGAUAGUAUAAUGAACCCUUAGAGUUACCUCAGGGUAACCCUAACCCUGACUCGAUGGAAUAAUGAUUUGAAUAGAUCGACAUUUAAACGAGAACAGAAUGAACAGAAACGACCGUUAUUUUGCACAUAAUCGAGAAUGUAUAGGUUGUUGUUUAUGUAAAGGAGAAGAAAGCGAGCACAAUCAUUGUUGUGUAACAUCCGAGUGCCCGUACGUGCAAGAACUAUUCGAACGAUGCCGCGGUUGUUGCUAUUGUUUGUUAAAAAUAUGUAAAUUGGAAAAAUGUAAAAUAAAAAUUCAUGAAUCAAAA